rnacentral:rRNA from 1 species
CUCAGGACGAACGCUGGCGGCGUGCUUAACACAUGCAAGUCGAACGGAAAGGCCCUGCUUGCAGGGUACUCGAGUGGCGAACGGGUGAGUAACACGUGGGUGAUCUGCCCUGCACUUCGGGAUAAGCUUGGGAAACUGGGUCUAAUACCGGAUAGGAGCCAUCUUUAGUGUGGUGGUUGGAAAGUUUUUUCGGUGUAGGAUGAGCUCGCGGCCUAUCAGCUUGUUGGUGGGGUAAUGGCCUACCAAGGCGGCGACGGGUAGCCGGCCUGAGAGGGUGUACGGCCACAUUGGGACUGAGAUACGGCCCAGACUCCUACGGGAGGCAGCAGUGGGGAAUAUUGCACAAUGGGCGCAAGCCUGAUGCAGCGACGCCGCGUGGGGGAUGAAGGCCUUCGGGUUGUAAACUCCUUUCGCUAGGGACGAAGCUUUGUUGUGACGGUACCUAGAUAAGAAGCACCGGCUAACUACGUGCCAGCAGCCGCGGUAAUACGUAGGGUGCGAGCGUUGUCCGGAAUUACUGGGCGUAAAGGGCUCGUAGGUGGUUUGUCGCGUCGUCUGUGAAAUUCUGGGGCUUAACUCCGGGCGUGCAGGCGAUACGGGCAUAACUUGAGUGCUGUAGGGGUAACUGGAAUUCCUGGUGUAGCGGUGAAAUGCGCAGAUAUCAGGAGGAACACCGAUGGCGAAGGCAGGUUACUGGGCAGUUACUGACGC